GGGAGCCCGGGAAGGGGGUGAUAGAUCUUGAGCUGGAGAGUCAGCUGAGCCUCUCUCUGUGAGAGCCCCAGAGCCCGGUCCUCGGAGGAGGAGGAGGAGAAAUCGCAGGCGGCGGCGGCGGCGGCGGCGGCGGCAGCCGCCCUAUCCCCAGGAGCUCCAGCGGCGGGAGGAGGAGAGAAAGAGAAAGAGGGAGAAGGAGAGAGAGGAGACUGGGCGAUUCCGGCGGCGGCGAUUGCGAAGGCGAAGCCACAUAAGUUUUCUUGAAAAUCCUUUUACGGCCGACUACGUGCACGGGCGUGCGAAUCUUCUGCGGAACGACUGGGCAACUACGGGAGUACCCAGUCCUGCCUUCCCGCUCCGAAAGUGCCAGUCUUGCCCCCUCCCCCCCUUUUUUCCCUUCUUUCUCCUGCCUCGAAUCGGUUCAGCUUGCCACCCGACCCUCGAGCGAAGGCUCCUACCGGGACCUCCGGAGCCAGUUGUGAGCGGGGUGGGGGCCCAGGGGCGACUCUGAGGAAGGAGGCAGCAGCAAACAGCACCAACAGCAGCUUCGGAGUUUCCUGACAUGGUAUUCGGGAGUGGACUCAGCGCUCAGAACAGAUGUCCCAGUGAUUGGCAGUUUUAAUGCUUCUCCAGUUUCACUCAGUCAAGUGAGGAUAGACACCAGCCUAUUAGUGAGACUGGACAAAACCGUGACUGGUGGAGUACCACAGUAAAUGUAAUUUGAAGAAAGCAAGAAAGAACCAAUGGCUUUAGCUGGCUGCCCGGAUUCCUUUUUGCAUCAUCCAUAUUACCAGGACAAGGUAGAUCAGACUUCUACUCACGGUCAGAGCAAGCUAGUGGAACCUGGAUUCCAAGAACAACCUACCCGAGUCGCCUUAAAUCACCAAGAUGACGACGUGGACUUGGAAGCUUUGGUAAAUGACAUGAACUCCUCAUUUGAAAGUUUGUAUUCUACAUGUAGCAUGCAGUCAGAAACUGCCCCCCUCCUUCAAAAUGGUCAACAUAACCGUAGCCAGUUGCCAACCUCAGGAACAAGUGCCCUCCAGCAGCAAGCGUCCCCAAAACAGAAAGUUCAGCGCUCUCAACCCAUGCACAUUCUAGCAGUCAGACGCCUUCAGGAAGAAGACCAACAAUUUAGAACCUCGUCUCUGCCCGCCAUACCAAAUCCAUUUCCUGAGCUUUGCAGCCCCACUAAUUCUCCUGUUCUCACAACAAGCUCUUUACCUCAGAAUCAACCAGCCAGCAAGCAGGUGAGUAAUUUUUGUACAUCAAUGUGUAUAAAGUGCUUUGCCAAUCUUAAAGCACCAUGUAAAUAUCAACUGUUAUAUUACUAUUGUCGUUGUCUACCAUUAUUUUCUAGGUGCUUAGAAGACCAUGAGCUGGUGGUCCAAGUGGAAAGCACAAUGGGAGGUGAAAGUAAAUUUUUAUUCAGGAAGAAUUAUGCAAAAUAUGAGUUUUUCAAAAAUCCCAUGAAUUUCUUCCCAGAACAGAUGGUGGCUUGGUGUCAGCAAUCAAAUGGCAGUAUUCCCCAAACUCAGCUUUUGCAGAAUUUUUUAAACUCCAGCAGUUGUCCUGAAAUUCAAGGUUUUUUACAUGUGAAAGAGCUAGGCAGGAAGUCCUGGAAAAAAUUAUAUGUCUAUUUGCGAAGAUCAGGACUUUAUUGCUCCACAAAAGGAACUUCAAAGGAGCCAAGGCAUCUGCAGUUACUGGCUGACCUGGAAGACAGCAAUAUCUUUUCUCUGAUAGCAGGCAGGAAACAGUAUAAUGCCCCUACAGACUAUGGGUUUUGUAUAAAGCCAAACAAAUUAAGGAAUGAGACAAAAGACCUCAGGUUACUGUGUGCUGAAGAUGAACAGAGCAGAACGUGUUGGAUGACGGCUUUUAGGCUCCUCAAGUAUGGCAUGCUCCUUUAUCAGAAUUACAGAAUUCCACAGCAGAGGAAAGCCUGGCUUUCCCACUUCUCAACCCCCGUGCGCAGUGUGUCUGAGAACUCUCUCGUAGCAAUGGACUUUUCCGGUCAAACAGGAAGAGUGAUUGAGAACCCUGCUGAAGCUCAAAGCGCAGCCUUGGAAGAGGGCCAUGCGUGGAGGAAACGAAGCACAAGGAUGAAUGUCUUAGGUAGCCAAAGUCCCCUCCACCCUUCUACGCUAAGCACAGUGAUCCAUAGGACCCAAAACUGGUUUCAUGGAAGGAUUUCUCGGGAAGAAUCCCAUAGGAUUAUUAAACAGCAGGGGCUUGUGGAUGGGCUCUUCCUCCUUCGUGACAGCCAGAGUAAUCCAAAGGCAUUUGUACUCACACUGUGCCAUCACCAGAAAAUCAAAAAUUUCCAGAUAUUACCUUGUGAGGACGAGGGACAAAUGUUCUUCAGCCUUGAUGAUGGAAAUACCAAAUUCACCGAUCUGAUCCAACUUGUUGAGUUCUACCAGCUAAACAAAGGAGUUUUGCCUUGCAAACUCAAACAUCACUGUAUCAGAGUGGCCUUAUGACCUUGAAUUUGGCUCUUGGUUGAAGACUGGAUUUGCUAGAAGAAUAACUAAGAGAAAGUUAACACUGGAAUGGAUGAGCAGGUCUGUAAAUUGGUUUAAAAGUUAUGUUCUGCACCUCAAGACUCUCAAAGGGAUGGAUUCAGUGGGUGCCAACAGACCAAGAUCCUCCUGGUUUGUCCAACACCUAAGAAUGAUCUGCUGCUGAGUAUCCCAGCACACCUUCCUCCCCUUGCCAAAUAAAGGAAGGCAUGUAGAAUUGUGUGCA
ensembl:lncRNA